AGGACGAACGCUGGCGGCGCGCCUAAAACAUGCAAGUCGAACGAGAAGCCCGGGCUUGCCCGGGUGGACAGUGGCGAACGGGUGAGUAACACGUGAGGAACCUGCCCCGAAGACCGGGACAACACCGGGAAACCGGUGCUAAUACCGGAUACCUUCACCGGAUCGCAUGGUCUGGUGAAGAAAUGGAUUCCGCUUCGGGAUGGCCUCGCGGCCUAUCAGCUUGUUGGUGAGGUAACGGCUCACCAAGGCAACGACGGGUAGCUGGUCUGAGAGGAUGUCCAGCCACACUGGGACUGAGACACGGCCCAGACUCCUACGGGAGGCAGCAGUUAGGAAUCUUGCGCAAUGGACGAAAGUCUGACGCAGCGACGCCGCGUGCGGGAUGAAGGCCUUCGGGUUGUAAACCGCUUUCAGCAGGGACGAAUUGACGGUACCUGCAGAAGAAGCCCCGGCCAACUACGCGCCAGCAGCCGC
rnacentral:rRNA from 1 species